rnacentral:rRNA from 1 species
AGAGUUUGAUCCUGGCUCAGGACGAACGCUGGCGGCGUGCCUAACACAUGCAAGUCGAACGAAGCUUGACGAAUGAUUUCUUCGGAAUGAAAUCUGAUAUGACUGAGUGGCGGACGGGUGAGUAACGCGUGAGCAACCUGCCCUUCGGAACGGGAUAGUGUCUGGAAACGGACAGUAAUACCGUAUAACGUAUUUUUACCGCAUGAUAGAAAUACCAAAACUGAGGUGCCGAAGGAUGGGCUCGCGUCUGAUUAGAUAGUUGGUGGGGUAACGGCCUACCAAGUCGACGAUCAGUAGCCGGACUGAGAGGUUGAACGGCCACAUUGGGACUGAGACACGGCCCAGACUCCUACGGGAGGCAGCAGUGGGGAAUAUUGCACAAUGGGGGAAACCCUGAUGCAGCAACGCCGCGUGAAGGAAGACGGUUUUCGGAUUGUAAACUUCUGUUCUUAGUGAAGAAUAAUGACGGUAGCUAAGGAGCAAGCCACGGCUAACUACGUGCCAGCAGCCGCGGUAAUACGUAGGUGGCAAGCGUUGUCCGGAAUUACUGGGUGUAAAGGGAGCGUAGGCGGGAUGCCAAGUCAGCUGUGAAAACUAUGAGCUUAACCCGUAGACUGCAGUUGAAACUGGUAUUCUUGAGUGAAGUAGAGGUUGGCGGAAUUCCGAGUGUAGCGGUGAAAUGCGUAGAUAUUCGGAGGAACACCGGUGGCGAAGGCGGCCGUCUGGUCUGUUGCUGACACUGAAGCACGAAAGCGUGGGGAGCAAAUAGGAUUAGAUACCCUAGUAGUCCACGCCGUAAACGAUGAGAACUAGGUGUUGGGGGAAUAACUCAGUGCCGCAGUUAACGCAAUAAGUUCUCCGCCUGGGGAGUAUGCACGCAAGUGUGAAACUCAAAGGAAUUGACGGGGGCCCGCACAAGCGGUGGAGUAUGUGGUUUAAUUCGAAGCAACGCGAAGAACCUUACCAGGCCUUGACAUCCCUUGCAGAGGUAUAGAGAUAUAUCCGAGGUUACCAAGGAGACAGGUGGUGCGUGGUUGCCGUCAGCUCGUGUCGUGAGGUGUCGGCUUAAGUGCCAUAACGAGCGCAACCCUUGUUGUCAGUUACUAACAGGAUUUGCUGAGGACUCUGACAAGACUGCCAUCGUAAGAUGUGAGGAAGGUGGGGAUGACGUCAAAUCAGCACGGCCCUUACGUCCGGGGCUACACACGUGUUACAAUGGGGGGUACAGAGGGCCGCUACCACGCGAGUGGAUGCCAAUCCCAAAAACCUCUCUCAGUUCGGACUGGAGUCUGCAACCCGACUCCACGAAGCUGGAUUCGCUAGUAAUCGCGCAUCAGCCACGGCGCGGUGAAUACGUUCCCGGGCCUUGCACUCACCGCCCGUCA